GAUGAACGCUGGCGGCGUGCCUAAUACAUGCAAGUCGAGCGAACAGACGAGGAGCUUGCUCCUCUGACGUUAGCGGCGGACGGGUGAGUAACACGUGGAUAACCUACCUAUAAGACUGGGAUAACUUCGGGAAACCGGAGCUAAUACCGGAUAAUAUAUUGAACCUCAUGGUUCAAUAGUGAAAGACGGUUUUGCUGUCACUUAUAGAUGGAUCCGCGCCGCAUUAGCUAGUUGGUAAGGUAACGGCUUACCAAGGCGACGAUGCGUAGCCGACCUGAGAGGGUGAUCGGCCACACUGGAACUGAGACACGGUCCAGACUCCUACGGGAGGCAGCAGUAGGGAAUCUUACGCAAUGGGCGAAAGCCUGACGGAGCAACGCCGCGUGAGUGAUGAAGGUCUUCGGAUCGUAAAACUCUGUUAUUAGGGAAGAACAAAUGUGUAAGUAACUAUGCACGUCUUGACGGUACCUAAUCAGAAAGCCACGGCUAACUACGUG
rnacentral:rRNA from 1 species